CGCAGGGACGCUCUCGUUGUCUCGAAAGAGGAAAGAGACUGGAAUCUCGGGAAGGCGAGCCCAGCAGCGGAAUGCAAAACCCUCGACAGCCGGCACUGCACCAUCGCGACGCCGGCCACCGGCGGGCUCUGCGCGGCUGAGGCGGUCGUGCACUGGAACAGAUUGUCCGGAGAGGCUGAGGAGUCUCCCUCGCUAGAGAUACCCGAGAACCGUCUGGUCUCAAUCCCGGGCCGUCGCUCUGGGAUGAUCCUGCCUGAGCAGGGAGGUUGGAUCAGAUGGAGCGCUGUCGUCCCUUCCAUCGUGAACCCCUCUGUGAUUUUGAGCGUGAAACACUUGGCAGAAGAGAGAGGACUGUUCAGGCAUCUGACAGGAGCGAUGGAAAGAGCGAGUUUCUGGGCUGUUAGCACUUUGAAAAGGCAGAAUCAGGCCAAUUAAUUUUUAACAAGAAAUAUCACUGCAGUAAAAACUAUGGAAGGAAGCUGGUGAAGUUGCUGAAGGGUCUGAAGCACAAGUCCUAGGAGGAGUGGCUGAGGGAGCUGGGAGUGUUUGGCCUGGAGAAAAGGCAGCUCAGGGGGCACCCUAGCGCUCUCUGGAGCUCACUGAAAGGCACCUGUAGCCAAGCGAAGGUCAGCCUCUUCUAUCAGGAAGGAUGAAAGGACAUACCUUCAAGCUGCACCAGGGAGGGCUUAGGUUUGUCAAUGAGAGGAAUUUCGUCAUAAAAAGAGCAAAUUAACACUGGAAUGGUCUUCCCAAGGAGGUGGUGGAGUCACUGUCCCCAGAGGUGUUCAAAAAAAGACUGGACAUAGCCCUUAGUGUACUGGUAUAGCUGACAAUGUAUUCAGUCCAGUCUAAACACCCCCAGCUCCCUCAGCUGCUCCUCGUAAGGCUUGUGCUCCAGACCCUUCCCUAGCUCUGUUCUCCUUCUCUGGACAUACUCCAGCACCUCAAUGUCCUUGAAGUGAGUGUACCAAAACUGAACACAGCACUUGAGGUGAGGCCUCACAAGUACAGGGAGAGAAUCACUUCCCUGUUCCUGCUGCUCACACCACUUCCAAUACAGGCCAGGAUGCCAGUCUGAGGGGCAGUGAGCAGCAGAAGUGAUGCACUUGGCACCAAUUCAUUAAGCUGCCCUGUUUCACUCCUACUACUGGUGUGUAUCCCUAUACAUAUGGAUAGGUGGAACAGGUAGCUACUUUUAAAGGUGUGACAUCUAGGUUUGUGUUGCAAGGUGUGAAUAUCAAAUUUUCUCAUUGUGAACUGGCUAUCUUGAUGGCAGGAGUGAGGGCAGCCAAAGGACAACUUCCAUCACAUUUGCUGAGGUUGUGACUCCUCAUGUGAAUGUUCUGCACCUGCUGUUGAUGACCUGAUGCCGUAAGAAAGUCCCACAAGUGACUGCUGCUCACCCUCCUCCACUUGGUGAGGUUGGACUCCGCCAGCAAAGGGAAACAGGAAAAAAAUCAUACAUUUCCAGAACUCUUGUAGGAGUAGUGGACAAUAAUUCGUGACUCAGUGAAAUCUGCUCAUAGAUUCAUUUACAGGGCUGUUCACAGGGCCAUGAAUUUCUUAAUAAUGAGUCUUGCCCUUUAGUUAGCUCUUCUAUUUCUAUAUUGUCCUUGUCUUCUAUUAACAAUUUCCUCUCCUGGA